UGUGGGUGAGAUCUCCAGCCACGUGGUGCUCUGAGAGGUGGGGAAUAGGAUGUCAGUGUGAGAUGGAAGGCUUCUUGGAGGAGAUGUCUGGGUCUUGAGUGGGCCAGAAUCUGUGAAGAGGAGAGAACCUCCAUAACAGCCAUAGACAACUGUCUCUGCGAUCGGUAGACAUGGAACUUGACACCCAAGGAAGUUUGUCUACUCACCAUGGCUUACAGACAAUUUGAAGGUGCUAAAACUACACUGAAUGCAGACCUCUCCCAGCCUGCUUUCUCUGCUUAGGCUGUGGGCAAAUGGCGUAGAUCCUUGAGUCGUGAGCAGGAACCUGCAGUGUCUAUACAUCUUUGGCCUUUGCUCGGAGGACAGUCCUGACCGAAGUUAUCUGAGGAUCUCAACUCAAGCUGCUGCUUUUCUCUGCUCCAUCCAAAGGCCUCACAGAUGCUCCAUCAGUCUGAAACGCUGUGCUCUCUCUUGUCAUCACACUGCUCCUGACUCAAGCAGCUAUAAAUUGUUAGGGCUCUCCCUGCUAGUUUCUCUCCACCACCAGCUUGUUUCCCUCUCAUUGAUCCAACCUGCAUCUGUAUCUUCGAUGGAUAAGCAGUUCUUCAGACUGUUUAUACCUCUGGCUCUAAACUGAAACUACCAACAGCAACAGUAGCAUCAGCUUCAGCAUCAACCUUAGCAUCAGUAUCGGCUUCAGCAGCAGCAGCAACAACAACAGCAGCAGCAUCUGUGUCAAAGCCAGGACCAUCAAGGACCUUGUUAGAAGUAGAAAUCAUGUGGCUCCAUUCCAGAUCUACUGAAGCAGAGACUGCAGUGAGGCCCACCAAUGGGAAAGCCCUCCAGAUGGCCUUCAUACCUUGUAGAAUCAACAAAUAGUUGUUUGAGCUGUAGGCCAGUGUGCCUAGCCAACUAGGAGACUGAGGCAGGAGGGUUACAAGUUCAAGGCAUUUAUGGGUUAAAGAGUGAAACCCUGUCUUCAAAUAUAAAGUCAAAAGCAAGGCUGGGAGUGUGGCUUAGAUAGAACACUUGCCUCACAUGUGCAAAGCUCUAGGCUUCUUUCCCAUCAUUGCACAAGCGUUCUAUCUUGUUGUUCCCAGCCCCGCUGCCCCACUCACCAUGGUGUGAUGGCUCACCUAAGAUCACAGCAGGUGGAUCCUGAGCUGGGAAGCAAGGCAGGAAUGAGCUUCAAGAGAACAGACUCCCAGAGACAGGAUACAGUAAGAUGGCUCAUUUUAAUGGGGGUGGGGGAACAAAGGCUAUUUAAACCUUUGAGGGGUGAGUAUACAUCAUUGGGUAGGUCCAUUGUGUUGGGGGUGCCUCAUUUGCAUAAGGAGGAAUUCCAGGUGCUGCUGGACAUAACCUUAUAAGGAGAGAGAAAAAUUAACCUGGCUACAGGGCUAUGUGACCUCCUCUAGUGGGGCAAAGGUAGGGGCACAGUGCCAUGUAUUCAGGGACAUGAAAGCCUGCGGCAGGGGUAGGGGAGGAGAGGGAGCAAUCCUACUCUUGUCAUCUCAGGAUGAGAUUUCUGGGGUUUGGACAUGCCUUGACCCUACUUUUGCUCUAGCCUACCCCCCCCCCCCCAUGGCUCUAAGGUUCCCCUGGCCCCACACUACCUGAGAGCAUAAUUUGUGUCUUUUGUCUCUUGGGCUUGUGGAUGCCAAAGAGAAGCUUUCUGGAGUACAGUCACACCCCAUUGCUAUCUGCUCCACAGGGAGCCACACGGAGAGAAUGAGUUGAGGGGAGGUGUGAAUAAGGAACAGAUGUGAGUUAAGGUGAGAGACCCUGGGAAGUACACGGUCAGGAUCCAUCCCAGAGAACUCACUAUGGAAUGCCAGUGGAGACUGCAAGAUUGCAAAUGUGGGGGUAUGCAGAACAGAGGGAUGCGCCAAAGCCCCAGAGCUGACCUCAACCCAUGCAUCUCUAAGAUGGUGAGAGUGGUGCUGCAGAGCCCCUCUGGACCAUGUGGGUUAGUGAUUGAUCAGUAGGAUCACGGACUUCCCAUAGGGUCGUUGUUGCGCAUGCACUCUGUGCCAGGCCUGGCCGGGAGGGUGCUAUGCUCCAAGUGAUUCCAUCUUCAUGGCAGCCCUUUGAAAUAGAAACUAGACUAUACCUGACAGAUGAGAAAGCUGGCACGGGCCUCUUUAGCCAUACUUACACAGCGACCUCAAAGCAGUGGGUAAUUGGGCACAUGGAUGGUCUUGCUCUGCCAGACACUGGGCAGUUUCUUAUUCUGGCAGAGUCUUCCCUCCCAUCACCCAUCAGCACAGUCAGUCAAGAAGAUCUAGCUCAUGGGCUUCGGUUGUACAUACUCUUUGACUUGACAGGCCAUGUAGGGUGUGGGUUGCCAGUGAGAUAGGGCCACAGCUGUCUGUUGAAUGGAAAGAUCCAGCCUGGUUCCCCUGGCUAACUGCAUUAGCAUAUUGCUGACCGUAGACCACCUGGCUCUGGUAUAUGUAUACUUGCUUUAGUGGAGUUGCUUAGCUUAUGCUCUGUUGCUAUAACUAAAUAUACAUAUGGGAUACUUUCUAAAGAGAAGAUGUUUAUUCACUGUUGCUCUGGAGGCCAGGCAGGCCAAGGUAGAGAGUUGUGUUUGAUGAUUGCCUUCUUGCUAGUGGGAGCUCUGCAGAAUUCCAAGAUGUCUCCAUAAGCCACACGUGACAAGACAAAAUAAGCUUGGUAACGUGGGUGUCUUUCCAUAUCAAAGUACAAUACCCUCAUAAACUCAUCCAACCCCAACACCAGCACAUUUCCAACACAUGAACCUUCAGGAGACACACCCAGAUCUUAACAGCAAUGUAGAAAGGCAGGUAAGACUCUUGCAUUCACAUGGAAUUCAUUAAUUCAUUAAUUCAUUCAUUGUUCAUUCAUUCAUUUAUUCAUUCAUUCUUGUAAUCCUCAAUGGGCUUACUGACCUGUAGAAAGAAAUGUCUGUGUGUUAUCAUCUUUGUCUCUGUGUCACAUUGAUAUGCAUACACAUCUAUGUGACUCUGGCAGGUAGCACAGGGUAGGGUAUGCCCCUACCUAAAUGGGAAGUGGGGCUACAAGGAAGCUUCCAGGGCAGGUAGGCAUGGCUCAGUAUGUUAGACUCUUCUCUACUCUCAUGUACUCUUAUACUUACUGUACUGGCUAGUUUUGUGUCAACUUGACACAGCUGCAGUUAUCACAGAGAAAGGAGCUUCAGUUGAGGAAAGGCCUCCAUGAGAUCCAAC
rnacentral:lncRNA from 1 species